GUUCUCAUAGUGUAGCGGUUAUCACGUCGGCCUCACAUGCUGAAGGUCCUCAGUUCGAUCCUGGGUGAGAACA
rnacentral:tRNA from 1 species